ACCCUGGUCUCCUGCAGGCAGAUUCUUUACCCUUUGAGCUACAGGGAAGUCCUAACUGUUGUUUUGUUGUUUUUUUUUCAUGGUCAUUUAAAAAUUAACAGCUGUAUUGAGAUGUAAUUCAUGUACCACAAGAGCAUCCUUUUAAAGUCUCCAACUUGGUUGUUUUUAGUGUAUUCAGAGGCAAUCAUCUCUGUUACCUAGUUCCAAAAUAUUUUCAUUACCCUGCCCCACCCCUGCAAAAUAACCCCAUGCCCAUUAGCAAUCACUCCUGAUGCUUCUUCCUCCCAGCGCCUGGCAACCACCAAUUUGCUUUCUGUUUCUAAGAAUUUGCCUGCUCUGUGUGUUUCGUGUAAGAAGAAUUGUACAGUAUUUGUCCUCUUGUAUCUUUCUGGCUUAUUUCACCGAGCAUAAUGUUUUCAAGGUCCAUCCUUCUUUCUUUUUUGGACUUCACCACACAGCUUGCAGGGUCUUAGUUCCCCAACCAGGGACUGAACCUGUGCCCCCUGCAUUAGAAGCCCAAAGUCCCAAACACUGGUCUGCCAGGGAGUUCCUUCAAGGUAUUCUGGAGAAUAGCAGCACCUCAUUCCUUUUCAUGGCCAAGUAAUGCUCCACCAUAGGGACCCCCCCCACCCCAGGUGUUAUGUCUGCUUUCAUGAAUUGAUGGGCAUUUGCCUUAAUCCCUCUUUUCAGCUGUUGUGAAUAAUGCUUCUGUGAACAUUUGGGUGUAGGUUUUCUCGCACACAGAGAUUUUCAUUGUGAGAAGAUUAUGGACUGGGGAGUGGAUUCAGAGCCUUUGAGCAAGAUGGUCUGUGAGGAGGCCCGUGUUGUCUCCACCCUUAGGCCAGUCCAGAGCAAGCUUAACGUUCUUCUUUUCUAAGACCCUCUGAAGCAGAGUCUGAUCUUACUCCAUUUUGACAGAUGAGGAUACUCAGGUUCAACGAGGUGAAGUUAAGUAGCCCAGCUAGAAAAUGGUAGGUUUAGGUCAGCCAGCCGGCAGGCCACCUGCUCCUGGAGAUCGGGUGGUGGUGGUGGCCUCCCCGGGAGGCUGAGUGGUGCUGCAGAGUGGCAGGGAGUGGGAUAGAGUGGGGUGUGUGUGUGCACCGGUGUGAGCCGGGUGUGUUGGGAGGGGAGGCCUUGUCCAGGCCUCAGGGGCAGGACCUGCCGUGCAGCUGCAACAGUGGAGAGAAGCCUGAGCUGGAGUCAGUGAGAGCCAGUUGGAUUCUUGGCACCAUCUCUGUGACCUUGGGCAGAUCUUGUCUCCUCUGAACUUGAACUUCCUCGUCCAGAACCUGGGGCUCUUCUCCCAGCCUCCUGCCUGCCUGAAGGCUGAAAUGAGCAAGAAGCAGGAAGAGUCUGGCACUGACCUGCCCUCAGCAUCAGUGGCCGCCUCCAGCACGUCCCUUCCUCAUUCUGCCUGCGCAUCACCUUCAAGCCACUGAGGCUUGCCCGGGUCCUUGAGGUCACUCGGGUGGCCUCUCCUAUCUGGGCCUGUUUCUGUUCCAGUGGCAGAGCCGGCUGUCCCCUUUAUCAGUGACUUGCAGCUUACCGGCGUUUUGUGUAAAGCUUGUCAUUGCCAGUUAGGAAAUAAAGAUAGAAACCUCCCCUUUGGAGUUGGCAUUGUGCUGACUUGCUCUUGUUCUGACUCCAGUAUUUUGCUGGAUUGUUAUCAAUCAGUCACUUUUUUUCCCCCCAAGUGUGACAAGCACAUUUGUCUUAAAAUGAGAAGCUAGGCUUUUAUGUGAUGCAAGUCAGAUGAUUUUUCCUUAGACUAAGAAACCUGCCCUUACCUCUAUCAGAGAAUGAUCUGAUGUGUUCUGUUUUGUCCUGACCUUUGAGGACAUAAGAGAUGUGGGUUCAGUCCCUGGGUCGGGAAGAUCCCCUGGAGGAGGGCAUGGCAACCCACGCCAGUAUCCUUGCCUCGAGAAUCCCAUGGACAGAGGAGCCUGGUGGCCUACGGUCCAUAGGGUUACAAUGAGUUGGACACGACUAGAGUGACGCAUGAGGACACAGGGGACUUCGGUGUACUGUCCUUCCUCUGCGUAGUUUCUGCCCCUUUGCCUCCAGGCAGCAGCUGUUGGCUUGGGGCUGUACUUAUGAGCUCAGAUCAUGGAGUCCAGUCACUGUUCAUUUAUAUAACUGGUCAGGCCCAAGGGUCUCCUUCCGAGCAGGAAGGGACCUUAAGGAUCACCUCAUCCAAACCUUGCCCUUUGCAGAUACUGAAAGUGAGGCCCCAAGAAGGGAAGCCACGUGCCCUCGGUCACAUAGGUGUUCACAAUGUAAGCCUAGCUUCCUGGCUCCCCCAAGACACUGUCUUUCUUCCAAACAGUAAAGCUCCCGACAGUGAGCAUGCCGUGGGGCCUUCAGGGAGCAUACCUAUCUUUGACCCGUUUCUCUAGCAGAUGCAGAACUGGUUUUCUGGAGGUGAAUUCUGUCACAUGCUUGGCGAUCUGCUGGGGAGAAUUCCAUGCUUUCUGCGGAAGAGUUGGACGUGUCCGCUGGAGUCUGGCGUCUCUGCACUUUUUGGCCAUCUGGGGAGAGAUUGAGCAUGCUUAGAUCCUGAAGGUGUUGGCUGCCAGAUGGUCCUCACCUGUACCCCCAGAUAUUGCAUUUAUAUCUAAUAGAGCAGGGGUUCCCCAACCUCCAGAGUCUAAGACCUGACGGUCCGAGGUGGAGCUGAUGUCAUAGGAACAGCAAUGAAGUGCCCAAUAUGUGUCAUGUGCUUGAAUCAUCCCAAAACUAUCACCCCUCCCAGUGCAUGGAAAAUAUGUCUUCCACGAAACCAAAAGGGUUGGGGACCACUGUCAUAGAGAACCCAGCCCAGCAACCAAAACUGGGGGCGCUGAGUUGGGAAAGAAAAAGAGUGGUGUUUCUUUUAGAAUAAAACUUGCUGAUGUCGUUUUGAAAGUCAUUGUCUUACUCAUCCUUGCUGGAGAUAAGUCACAUAAUGGGUGGUAUCUGGGGUGCUGUUUCCCCCGUGAGAGCACAGCGAAGUGAACCUUGUGUGGGCUGGUUGGUUAAAAACCCAGAAGCCAUGGGUUGGAAACAACCGAAAUGUGAAGCAUUGGGGGAGCUGCUGAAACCGUGCGCUGCCCUGAGGUCAUCACAGAUGCUUUGAAAGAAUGCUCUGCGAGCUGGAAAGAUGUUCAUCACAUAAGAUACUUGAAGGUAUGAGCUACAAAAUAAGGUAAAGCAGAAACAUUCAACCUGACUUCAAACUCAAAAACGUGUUUUGCAAGGAUACAGCACAACACCAUAGUGUGUUUUGUUUUUUUUUAAA